rnacentral:rRNA from 1 species
GAGGAAUAUUGGACACUGGGUGCAAGCCUGAUCCAGCCAUCCCGCGUGAAGGAUUAAGGACCUAUGGUUUGUAAACUUCUUUUGUACAGGGAUAAACCAUUCUACGUGUAGAAUGCUGAAGGUACUGUACGAAUAAGCACCGGCUAACUCCGUGCCAGCAGCCGCGGUAAUACGGAGGGUGCAAGCGUUAUCCGGAUUUAUUGGGUUUAAAGGGUCCGUAGGCGGAUCUAUAAGUCAGUGGUGAAAGCCGACAGCUUAACUGUCGAACUGCCGUUGAUACUGUAGGUCUUGAGUAAAUUUGAAGUGGCUGGAAUAAGUAGUGUAGCGGUGAAAUGCUUAGAUAUCACGAAGAACUCCAAUUGCGAAGGCAGCUCACUGGAGUGUAACUGACGCUGAUGCUCGAAAGUGUGGGUAUCAAACA